rnacentral:rRNA from 1 species
CGGAUCGCAGUCUGCAACUCGACUGCGUGAAGGUGGAGUCGCUAGUAAUCGCGGAUCAGCAACGCCGCGGUGAAUGCGUUCCCGGGCCUUGUACACACCGCCCGUCAAGUCAUGAAAGUGGGCAGCACCCGAAGACGGUGGCCUAACCCUUGUGGGGGGAGCCGUCUAAGGUGAGGCUCGUGAUUGGGACUAAGUCGUAACAAGGUAUC